rnacentral:rRNA from 1 species
UACGUAGGGACCGAGCGUUGUCCGGAAUCAUUGGGCGUAAAGAGCGUGUAGGCGGCCACUCAAGUCCUGCGUGAAAUCUUGCGGCUCAACCGCAAGCGGUCGUGGGAAACUGGGUGGCUAGAGUGCGGGAGAGGAGAGUGGAAUUCCUGGUGUAGCGGUGGAAUGCGCAGAUAUCAGGAAGAACACCCGUGGCGAAGGCGGCUCUCUGGAACGCAACUGACGCUGAGACGCGAAAGCGUGGGGAGCAAACAGG